AGCAGUCGCCGCGGGAAUACGUAGGUCCCGAGCGUUGUCCGGAUUUAUUGGGCGUAAAGCGAGCGCAGGCGGUUAGAUAAGUCUGAUGUGAAAGCCCACGGCUCAACCGUGGAGGGUCAUUGGAAACUGUUAAACUUGAGUGCAGGAGAGAAAAGUGGAAUUCCUAGUGUAGCGGUGAAAUGCGUAGAGAUUAGGAGGAACACCAGUGGCGAAGGCGGCUUUUUGGCCUGUAACUGACACUGAGGCGCGAAAGCGUGGGGAGCAAACAGGAUUAGAUACCCGCGUAGUCCCUGUCUCUUAUAC
rnacentral:rRNA from 1 species